rnacentral:rRNA from 1 species
AACGAACGCUGGCGGCAUGCCUAACACAUGCAAGUCGAACGAGACCUUCGGGUCUAGUUGCGCACGGGUGCGUAACGCGUGGGAACCUGCCCUUAGGUUCGGAAUAACUCCCCGAAAGGGGUGCUAAUACCGGAUAAUGUCUUCGGACCAAAGAUUUAUCGCCUUUGGAUGUGCCUGCGUUGGAUUAGCUAGUUGGUAGGGUAAAAGCCUACCAAGGCGACGAUCCAUAGCUGGUCUGAGAGGAUGAUCAGCCACACUGGGACUGAGACACGGCCCAGACUCAUACGGGAGGCAGCAGUGGGGAAUAUUGGACAAUGGGCGAAAGCCUGAUCGAGCAAUGCCGCGUGAGUGAUGAAGGCCUUAGGGUUGCAAAGCUGUUUUACCCGGGAUGAUAAUGACAGUACCGGGAGAAUAAGCGCCGGCUAACUCCGUG